CAGGCCAUAGUUAAAGUAUUAUAAUAGUUCUCUUACACUGAGCAAUUAUUCGUGAAAGUCGAAUUGGUCUGA
rnacentral:tRNA from 2 species